rnacentral:rRNA from 1 species
GACGAACGCUGGCGGCGUGCCUAAUACAUGCAAGUAGAACGCUGAAGAGAGGAGCUUGCUCUUCUUGGAUGAGUUGCGAACGGGUGAGUAACACGUAGGUAACCUGCCUUGUAGCGGGGGAUAACUAUUGGAAACGAUAGCUAAUACCGCAUAACAAUGGAUGACACAUGUCAUUUAUUUGAAAGGGGCAAUUGCUCCACUACAAGAUGGACCUGCGUUGUAUUAGCUAGUAGGUGAGGUAAUGGCUCACCUAGGCGACGAUACAUAGCCGACCUGAGAGGGUGAUCGGCCACACUGGGACUGAGACACGGCCCAGACUCCUACGGGAGGCAGCAGUAGGGAAUCUUCGGCAAUGGGGGCAACCCUGACCGAGCAACGCCGCGUGAGUGAAGAAGGUUUUCGGAUCGUAAAGCUCUGUUGUAAGUCAAGAACGGGUGUGAGAGUGGAAAGUUCACACUGUGACGGUAGCUUACCAGAAAGGGACGGCUAACUACGUG